rnacentral:lncRNA from 1 species
AUGAUGGGAUUUUCGGGUCUCCAGCUAAGAUGCUUAAUAUUAACAGGCCUUUUUAUGUCUGGAGAAAUACACUCAUCUCCAGUGUCUGUAAGUCCUUACUUCGCAGACAACGCAAGAGGGAGCUCAGAAGAGGUGGUGCUAACACAAGGAAUGUCUCUCAGAAUAACUGCUUUCUGUGCCUAUCAAUAUUUACAAGGAGACAAGAUAUGGUGCAAAGAAACAGAGCAGAAGGAAUGCGAUCUUAACAAAUCUUUCAGCCUUUCAGAAUGGAAGUUUCUAUCUACUAUACCCAACCAAAAGAUCACAUUGGAGAGUCCAAGAAAUGGAUGCCUUUCUCUGUUCAUGACUGCUCUUGAAGUAGAAGAUUCAGGGACAUACUGGUUUGGACUUCUUGAUGGCUUGAAGAUGAUCUCUUCGAAGAAAAUUAAAGUGGUGGUUCAUGAAAAUCCUCUGGUGCCUACAAUGAUAUUCUCACCUCCAACCUCUAUGACUCCUUCCUCUGAAAGUCCUAACAAGUCAGGAAGGAGAUUACAAGAAGUGAUCAAGGUGCAAGGAGAAUCCCUCAUCAUGAAAGCUUUCUGUUCCCAACAACAUCAAUCAAAGAAGAUCUGGUGCAAAGGAGAUAUACUAAAGGAAUGUGAUCUUGACAAACCCGUAGGCAUCUCAGCAACAGGAUGGCAAUAUCUGACUCCUAAACCAAACCAAAAAGUUAUAUUAUUGGAUUCAGGAAAUGGCUGCAGUUAUUUUUUCAUAUCUGAUCUUCACAUGGACGAUUCAGGGAUAUAUUGGUUUGGGAUACUUGAGGAUCUGAAUAUUAUCCCUUUAAGAAAAUUCAAAGUGAUCGUUCAAAAGAGACAGAAAAAUAAUGGCAUUGUGGCAGUAACAAGUGAAGAUUAUCAAAGGCCAGAACCAAGCGUGACAAUUCCCAUCUCUUCUGAACCACAAGUUUACCAAGUUAUCUUGGUUCUGGGCUCCAUUGUGGUUGGCAUAACAAUUAUUGCAGCUCUCAUAUUAGUUGUCACGAUGCUCCUCAAAAGGAAAAUGAGAGCAGCUGAGGAGCUGAAUUUUGGUGAUGACCCAAACUGUAGAGUAAUAACAUUACAGAUCCAUGACGUCCAAGCUGCCAGACACUCUUCAAGCAAAGAAAUUAAUGCAAUAUAUGCCAUACCAAACAAGCCCAAAACAAGGAUAGAAGACGUCACAUAUGUCAACACAAAAUUUCCACAGAGGUCAAACAUCAUCAAACAUCACAGUGAACCACAUUGUGUGCUUCCAUCUCCUGGAUCUGUAGAGUAUGCAAACAUCAUAUUUGGAUCUAGAAUUCCACAUAUCAGGGACUAAAGACAGAGUGAAUCCUCUUUUAUAAAUUCCAGGGCUUAUUUGCUGAAAUGUGUGAG